rnacentral:tRNA from 1 species
UACGUAGGGAGAGACUCGAACUCUCACGACCGAAGUCAUGCGGGCUUAAACCGCAUGUGUCUGCCAAUUCCACCACCCACGC